rnacentral:rRNA from 2 species
CAGUCGAACGAGUUCUCGUUGAUGAUCGGUGCUUGCACCGAGAUUCAACAUGGAACGAGUGGCGGACGGGUGAGUAACACGUGGGUAACCUGCCCUUAAGUGGGGGAUAACAUUUGGAAACAGAUGCUAAUACCGCAUAGAUCCAAGAACCGCAUGGUUCUUGGCUGAAAGAUGGCGUAAGCUAUCGCUUUUGGAUGGACCCGCGGCGUAUUAGCUAGUUGGUGAGGUAAUGGCUCACCAAGGCGAUGAUACGUAGCCGAACUGAGAGGUUGAUCGGCCACAUUGGGACUGAGACACGGCCCAAACUCCUACGGGAGGCAGCAGUAGGGAAUCUUCCACAAUGGACGCAAGUCUGAUGGAGCAACGCCGCGUGAGUGAAGAAGGCUUUCGGGUCGUAAAACUCUGUUGUUGGAGAAGAAUGGUCGGCAGAGUAACUGUUGUCGGCGUGACGGUAUCCAACCAGAAAGCCACGGCUAACUACGUGCCAGCAGCCGCGGUAAUACGUAGGUGGCAAGCGUUAUCCGGAUUUAUUGGGCGUAAAGCGAGCGCAGGCGGUUUUUUAAGUCUGAUGUGAAAGCCCUCGGCUUAACCGAGGAAGCGCAUCGGAAACUGGGAAACUUGAGUGCAGAAGAGGACAGUGGAACUCCAUGUGUAGCGGUGAAAUGCGUAGAUAUAUGGAAGAACACCAGUGGCGAAGGCGGCUGUCUGGUCUGUAACUGACGCUGAGGCUCGAAAGCAUGGGUAGCGAACAGGAUUAGAUACCCUGGUAGUCCAUGCCGUAAACGAUGAAUGCUAGGUGUUGGA